rnacentral:lncRNA from 1 species
AGUAAGAGCUAUUCAGUUGUGAGUGGCUUUAGAUCUGGGAAAGGGAUAAGUUUGACGAAUUUAUCAUGUGGUUAGUAUGCUACCAUUGCAAAUAACUAGAGGUGAGUUUUAGAUGGCAUUGUGGUCUUUAAGUUUUAUUGGAGGAUUAUUGGGGCAAAUGUUUGAAAGGAUAAAGAAAUCUAGUUGUGAGGAUAGUAGAAAAAGCCAAAGUAUGAAAUGUUUGAGAUCAUUUAGAAUACUUAAGAGCCAUUAAUAUACUCAAGUUAUGAUCAUACUAAUUGAUUGGACAUUAGACGUGGUGGACCUUCAAUCUACCCAAGAACUUGAUUAGCGUUACUAAUGGGGCAAGUGGAUUAGUAGCUGUACCUGAUCAAUUGUCGCCUUGACUAUGUUAGGGUGAGUAAGUCGUAACUUUGCCAUGUUUGCAUGUUAGAUGAACUUAAAAAGAACUUGUUUGAUUGUUUAUUUAAGUGUACU